AAAGAUGGACUGUUGAUUGGCAUGAUCAUGACCAUUGGUGCUACAAUUGACUAUAUUUGGCACGUAGUGCAAAGGUGAACUGUUAAUUUUUUUGAUUAUGAUUAGAAACUAUUAAUUGAUGUUAUAGGAAAAAAAUAUUAAUGAUGAAUUUUUAAAUUGGAGAAGAUUGUGAACAUCAUGAUCUAUUGUACUCUCCUAAUUGAUUGUUAUUUCUG
rnacentral:lncRNA from 1 species